CACACAGGAUUUUUGCCAGUCAAGUUCCUGGCAGGACCCAGACUCUAGCCAGGGACUUGACUUCAA
rnacentral:miRNA from 1 species